rnacentral:rRNA from 1 species
GACGAACGCUGGCGGCGUGCUUAACACAUGCAAGUCGAACGGAAAGGCCCUGCUUGCAGGGUACUCGAGUGGCGAACGGGUGAGUAACACGUGGGUGAUCUGCCCUGCACUUCGGGAUAAGCCUGGGAAACGGGGUCUAAUACCGGAUAGGAGCCAUUUUUAGUGGGAUGGUUGGAAAGUUUUUUCGGUGUAGGAUGAGCUCGCGGCCUAUCGGCUUGUUGGUGGGGUAAUGGCCUACCAAGGCGGCGACCGGUAGCCGGCCUGAGGGGGUGGACGGCCACAUUGGGACUGAGAUACGGCCCAGACUCCUACGGGAGGCAGCAGUGGGGAAUCUUGCACAAUGGGCGCCAGCCUGAUGCAGCGACGCCGCGUGGGGGAUGACGGCCUUCGGGUUGUAAACUCCUUUCGCUAGGGACGAAGCUUUUUGUGACGGUACCUAGAGAAGAAGCACCGGCUAACUACGUG